rnacentral:rRNA from 1 species
GACGAACGCUGGCGGCGUGCUUAACACAUGCAAGUCGAACGAGGCCCCUCCUUCGGGAGGGUGUCCUAGUGGCGAACGGGUGAGUAACACGUGGGCAACCUGCCCCCGGCUCUGGGAUAACCCCAAGAAAUUGGGGCUAAUACCGGAUAUGACCGCUGACCGCAUGGUCUGGGGGUGGAAAGAUUUUUUCGGCUGGGGAUGGGCCCGCGGCCUAUCAGCUUGUUGGUGGGGUAGUGGCCUACCAAGGCGACGACGGGUAGCCGGCCUGAGAGGGUGACCGGCCACACUGGGACUGAGACACGGCCCAGACUCCUACGGGAGGCAGCAGUGGGGAAUAUUGCGCAAUGGGCGGAAGCCUGACGCAGCGACGCCGCGUGGGGGAUGACGGCCUUCGGGUUGUAAACCUCUUUCAGCAGGGACGAAGCGAAAGUGACGGUACCUGCAGAAGAAGCACCGGCCAACUACGUGCCAGCAGCCGCCGUAA